rnacentral:rRNA from 1 species
GACGAACCGUGCGAACGUUAUUCGGAAUCACUGGGCUUAAAGCGCGUGUAGGCGGGUGACCGCGUCGGUCGCUGAAAGCCCCCGGCUCAACCGGGGGACCGGCGCCGAUACGGGUCGCCUGGAGGGGCGUAGGGGGACCUGGAACUUCCGGUGGAGCGGUGAAAUGCGUUGAGAUCGGAAGGAACGCCCGUGGCGAAAGCGAGGUCCUGGACGCCAUCUGACGCUGAGACGCGAAAGCCAGGGGAGCGAACGGG